AAUAAAAGUUUUUAGUUUAACUAAAAUAUAAGCCUACCUGCGGUAUACUGCAGAUUAAUCUCUAGAUUAUAGGGCUUAUUGGAACUAAAGACGGGUCAUCAAAGAUUUCCUAAACUGAAGCAAAAUAUACUGAAUAUUCAAAUAUUUAUAUGUUACCAAAUUAUAAACAAAUAAGUCAAUUUAAUAUUUUAUAUAUGAAAUCAAUUAAAA
rnacentral:sRNA from 1 species